UAGGGAAUCUUCCACAAUGGACGCAAGUCUGAUGGAGCAACGCCGCGUGAGUGAAGAAGGUUUUCGGAUCGUAAAGCUCUGUUGUUGGUGAAGAAGGAUAGAGGCAGUAACUGGUCUUUAUUUGACGGUAAUCAACCAGAAAGUCACGGCUAACUACGUGCCAGCAGCCGCGGUAAUACGUAGGUGGCAAGCGUUGUCCGGAUUUAUUGGGCGUAAAGCGAGCGCAGGCGGAAUGAUAAGUCUGAUGUGAAAGCCCACGGCUCAACCGUGGGACUGCAGCGGAAACUGUCAUUCUUGAGUGCAGAAGAGGAGAGUGGAAUUCCAUGUGUAGCGGUGGAAUGCGUAGAUAUAUGGAAGAACACCAGUGGCGAAGGCGGCUCUCUGGUCUGCAACUGACGCUGAGGCUCGAAAGCAUGGGUAGCGAACAGG
rnacentral:rRNA from 1 species